AUGGUGUGCCGUGUGUGGGU
rnacentral:misc_RNA from 1 species